CGUAACACGUAUGUAACCUACCUUCGUCAGGGGGGUAGCCUCUCGAAAGAGAGAUUAAGCCCGCAUAAAAUCACAUUGCAGCAUUGCAAAAUGAUCAAAUAUUUAUAGGACGAAGAUGGGCAUGCGGAACAUUAGCUAGUUGGUAAGGUAACGGCUUACCAAGGCUACGAUGUUUAGGGGAUCUGAGAGGAUGACCCCCCACACUGGUACUGAGACACGGACCAG
rnacentral:rRNA from 1 species